rnacentral:tRNA from 1 species
AGGGUUGUGGCUCAGUGGUAGAGCGCUUGCCUAGCAUGUGUGGGGCCCUGAGUUCGAUCCUCAGCACUA